CCGUCAAUUCCUUUGAGUUUUAAUCUUGCGAUCGUACUCCCCAGGCGGGGCGCUUAAUGCGUUAGCUGCGUCGCACAAACCGUGGAAGGUUCGCACAACUAGCGCCCACCGUUUACGGCGUGGACUACCAGGGUAUCUAAUCCUGUUCGCUCCCCACGCUUUCGCUCCUCAGUGUCAGUAUUGGCCCAGAGACCUGCCUUCGCCAUCGGUGUUCCUCCUGAUAUCUGCGCAUUCCACCGCUACACCAGGAAUUCCAGUCUCCCCUACCAAACUCUAGCUUGCCCGUAUCGGCUGCAAGUCAGGGGUUGAGCCCCUGAAUUUCACAACCGACGUAACAAACCACCUACGAGCUCUUUACGCCCAAUAAUUCCGGACAACGCUUGCACCCUAUGUAUUACCG
rnacentral:misc_RNA from 1 species